AUUGAACGCUGGCGGCAGGCCUAACACAUGCAAGUCGAGCGGAGCGGCGGACGGGUGCGUAAUGCCUAUGAAUCUGCCUGGUCGUGGGGGAUAACGUUCGGAAACGGGCGCUAAUACUGCAUACUCUCAGCUGAGCCUAGGUCGGAUUAGCUAGUUGGUGGGGUAAGGGCCUACCAAGGCGACGAUCCGUAGCUGGUCUGAGAGGAUGAUCAGUCACACUGGAACUGAGACACGGUCCAGACUCCUACGGGAGGCAGCAGUGGGGAAUAUUGGACAAUGGGCGAAAGCCUGAUGCAGCCAUGCCGCGUGUGUGAAGAAGGUCUUCGGAUUGUAAAGCACUUUAAGUUGGGAGGCGUUACCAGCAGAAGAAGCACCGGCUAACUUCGUGCCAGCAGCCGCGGUAAUAC
rnacentral:rRNA from 1 species